rnacentral:rRNA from 1 species
AUGGUGGUACCGUCGGUGUUCGCCGCCUUCGACAAGGACGGCGACGGCAAGGUGUCCGACGACGUGAGGCGAAGGUGCCUGAGGGAGGCGUUCGGGAUGUACGGGUCGUCAUCCACGGAAGACACAACGACGACGAUAAUUACGCCGGCGAGCCUGAGGCGGACCCUGAGCAGACUGGGGUCGCACGAGCUGGGCGUGGAGGAGUGCAGGGCAAUCUGCAGGUUCGACCUCGACGGCGACGGCAAACUCUCGUUCGACGAGUUCCGGGUCAUGAUGAUGGCAUGA